ensembl:snRNA U6 U6 spliceosomal RNA
GUGCUCACUUCAGCAGUUCAUACAUUAAAAUUGGAAUGAUACAAAGAUUAGCAUGGGCCCUGCAAAAGGAUGACACAAAAACUUGUGAAGUGUUCCAUAUAUUU